rnacentral:rRNA from 1 species
UGGGGAAUUUUGGACAAUGGGGGCAACCCUGAUCCAGCAAUGCCGCGUGUGUGAAGAAGGCCUUCGGGUUGUAAAGCACUUUUGUCCGGGAAGAAAUCGCACCUGAUAAUACCGGGUGUGGAUGACGGUACCGGAAGAAUAAGGACCGGCUAACUACGUGCCAGCAGCCGCGGUAAUACGUAGGGUCCAAGCGUUAAUCGGAAUUACUGGGCGUAAAGCGUGCGCAGGCGGUUGUGCAAGACCGAUGUGAAAUCCCCGGGCUUAACCUGGGAAUCGCAUUGGUGACUGCACGGCUAGAGUGUGUCAGAGGGGGGUAGAAUUCCACGUGUAGCAGUGAAAUGCGUAGAGAUGUGGAGGAAUACCGAUGGCGAAGGCAGCCCCCUGGGAUAACACUGACGCUCAUGCACGAAAGCGUGGGGAGCAAACAGG